UCAAUCGUGAUUUUACCGACAGUCCCAGUGAUAAAUUAUAGUUUUUCCAGAAUGAAAAGCUUUACUACACUUUACCUGGCUAUGAUUUCUACAUUGUUAUUUGCAUCCGUGCUAAGAGCUGAUACAGUUUCUGAACAAAUAGAGGACGAGCUUUACUUUGGCUGCAAAACAUUAGAUAACACUAACAAUGACUACACAGCAUGUAUGAUGUACUUAAUAUGGUGCCACGACCGUCCAGUUCAGUGCGCGAAUCAAUUGGCUCAGUUCAAUGAAAAGCAACAACUAGUAGUGAAAUGAAAAGCAAUUAGUUAGUAGUUAAAUGGAAACAAAUAUUACGUUAUUCUAGAACAAUAAACUAAUCUUGUUUCAACAAUCCACGCCAUAACCAAAAA